GAUAAUUCAUGUCGAUGGCUUGUUGCAAAUCAAGAUAAAUCAAUUGAUCCUAUUUUGUAAAUCCUAGAAAUGGCGAAACUUUAGUUUUAUUUAUAAUGCAUUGCCUCUUCUCUUUCAUUUUCCUCUUCUCUUUUUCGGAUUUCAAAUUUUUUUAGCCGUGUGUAAUUUGGCAGAUUUGGAUAAUCCUAAGUACUUGGAUUUAAGCCCUUGAUUAUCAUACAUGGCUUGAACCUAAAAUAUGCACAAAAUUUGUACAUCAUGAAAAUGGUCAUCUGCUAAUGUAAAAGACAAUAGAAUUUUAGGUUAUUGGCUCACCAGCUAUAGAGGUAUAAUUGCUUCUUGAAAGAGUUGAAUCCUAUAUAGAAGCAUAAAGAAGCUGGAAGCACCAUUUUUGUGUUAAAAGUAUGAUAAUAUUAGUUUGUAACUUGCUGGUUCUGUUUUUUUGGAAUAUGGUAAUAUGUCAUAGUUUAUCACCAAAAAGAUAUUAGUUUGUAUGUGGGGGAAGAAUGAAAACUAGUCUCAGUAACAAUUUGGCAUCUCUUAAUUUCUAUACUUAGCUGAUGUGGUAAUAUUGUAUUGAUGUAAGUUGGUUACUGCAGUAGUAUAUGUGGUUUAGAGUUUAUUGUUGAGAGGUUGUUAACUGCAGAAGUAGGUAUGCUGUUUUUUUGUCUUGCUCUGUACUGCAAAAUAAAAAGAUGUUAGUCCUCUAUAUCUCAAAUAUCUACUAGGAAAAUAAUUUGAAUUUAAAUCUCGAGUUCUUUUUCAUCUUCUUUUUAUAACUGAGAAAUUCUCAAAGGUAGUGGCGCACUGUUCGAAACUUGGUGGAUCAUGGUCCGCUACUCUACUCUCCUCCACUUAAGUACCGGGCUUUUGAAUGUGGCGUGAUUAAGAGUAGGAUGAAAUGAUUUACCUUGAUCACUCAUAAAUCGGAUACUCAACAGCAGCCAAGUGCCCAAGCUUUUGAUUUAUCUUACUUAAAUAGGGAAUAAGUCAGCAGACUGUUAUUCACAUACACUCGUCUAUCCUUUGCAAAACUUCAAUCACCAUUCACUAUCGUAAGGUCCAGCUGAUAUACUCUCCUGUAAAAUAACUUGAACUCAAGCAUGGCCAUGAGAUGGUAAAUGGGGUUGCUUAAUCACUGGUGCGUUUAUUAAGUAAGGAUAUAGUGUAAAAUCACAAUCCAAAUUAUGUUCAAUUUAUUUGGAAGCUCUAUUGCAAAGUGUCUAGUUUCCUUUAGGUAUGAUGGCAAUGGGGAUAUUAAUGUUGUAAGGGGUUCAAGGUCAUCAGCUCAAGAGUUAGUGCAAUUACAACCACUCUGAAAGGUUAGUGCAGAUGUUCGUAUGUUGUUCUAAUUAACCUGUUAAUGAGUAUGUUACUUGUUCUCCCCAUCUUUCUUCUCUUUUCUUUUUCCUGAUUAGUUGUUUUCCCUGUCUCUCAUUUUUAAACAUGUUGAUAUUGUCCUUAUCAAAAAAAAAAAAGGACAUGUUGAUACUGUUUUUGUCAAGAGUCAUAUGAAUCUACUUCAUUCUUAAGAUGUAGGUAAGACAUUUACUAUAAGAUAUAUAACUUAAGCAAAAACGUUCUUGCUUAAUUAGAAACUGAAUGUUAUUAAAAAUAUCUCAAAAGUGCAAACACAAGCUCUUUUUUAAUUUAUUUUGACCGGAAGAGCGUAAUGUUUAUUCUUGAUUUUGUCAUUGAUGAGAAAUGUCUUCAAUCUUAAUGUGCGUAGCAUACAAAUGUAAAGGCGUUUUACUUUCAACUGCUAUUCUGCAAAGUUUCAAUUUAUGCAGAUGCUUAUCUUCUGAUGAGUCUGUUAGCUCAUAGGACAUGUAAAGUAUCUAUUAACUGUAUUUUCAUAGUUUCUCAUCAUUGAGUUGGAGCCUCUUCUUUCUUAAGACAAAAGAAGUGAAACUUGGUGCUUUGUAUUUCCUAAGGAAGCUUCGCCAAUUGGACCGCAUUUAGUAUGCCUAGAAGUUCCAUGACUGUGAUGGUCUACUCUAAAACAUUAAAUCGAACUUGGUGUGAGAAGAAAACAAGGAACAAUUAUUUGAUCCAAGCGAUUCCUUUUUCCGCAAAAUCCACCUGAAGUGAAUGGGGGUUUAAGCUUAACAUAAAGACUUAAUUGUUUCUGUUUAUCUAUAGGUAAACCAUAAGCCAUAGUUUCUCUAACAUUUUAGCUUAUAGUUGGUAUGUGGCUUUCGUCUUGUUAGAAUCUUUACAAUUUUGCACUAAUUGAUUGGUGAUAGCUUCUUGCUAACUGCAUAUUAGGCCAUGUUGCAAAACAUUAUAAAUGCAUGUUUAGUGUUUUCAACAUGUCUUCUUUUCAUAUUAUUAAAGACCAUUUAUUCCAAUGAUGUGUCAGGCAGCAAGGAGGAAUUAUUGCUGUAGGUCCUGCCAGGUUAGGAUUUUGAAUUAUGCAAUUUAUCCUGUUCACUUUUGAACUUUGUCUCAGUUCCUCUUUACAUGCUUAAAAAGGUUAAAUGUCUUUUUAAAUAUUGGAUUAUGCGAUGAAGGCAAUUAAGACUUUAAAAUUUUGAGCAUUGUAAUUUAGGGAGUUGUUUUAGACAGAAAGAGGAGUAUAUUUUUCUCUAUUUUAUAUCACUUCUCUAGUUCUUAGGAGUUACGGGUAAGUUGCUGGCACUACACUCAUGGUAGACAUCGGUCAUUGAAGUAUCUUGCAACUUGCUGAAAGAUUUGAUUCAGAGUAGCAUAGCUAGUUUGAAACUUUAAAGCUCAAAGAGGUCCAAAUACAUGGAUUCAAUAUAUUUUUCGAGUUCUCAGCCUAGCAAACAAUGUUUUGAGAAGGACAAAUAUAUGCAAAUCAACGCAACUUACAAUGUGGUACAACAAUGCACAAGCUGGAAGAAGAUUUUUCGCGUUACUAAAUAAAUAGAUUAGGAUUUUAUAAUACAAUAUCUUAGUUCCUUUUGUUAGUAAAAUCAUACUUUUAGGAAUCAGGUAGAUUUGGAACUAUGUAUUUUUUUGAUACAAUUGUGUCAUUGAUCUUUACAUUUAUAUUAUAUAUGCUAAUUUUCUUUG